rnacentral:tRNA from 4 species
GCCACUAUAGCUCAGUUGGUAGAGCGACGGAUUCGUAACCCGUAGGCCAGCAGUUCGAUUCUGCUUGGUGGCACCA